rnacentral:lncRNA from 1 species
UAAAAUUGAUCUUACAAAACAUGAGUCAAAACACCCUAUUUAAAGGAGAUGAUGCCUUGGAGAGCAAAGAGCAGGGGUAGGAUGAGAAAUACACAAAAGAUGGGUUGUUAGGGUAUUGACUAAAGUCAAUGCCGCACCCUAGGAGCAAAGAUCUAGAAGUUAGGUUAACUUCCUACCCUAAAAGGCUCUACUCAAGCUUCAAUGGUUAUCACAUUUCCCCUAUUAUGUUAAAUGAACCUUAUUCUACUUAAAUUACAAAUAAAAAAACUAGUUGUCAUGGUUUGAGCUUU